GGUCAGUGAUGAGCAGUAAAAGGUCUGAUUACCCACAAUCCUCUCCUGCUGCCCUCUGGCUCCCAGCAGCCCCUGCUCUGCUCCCAUCAUGCUCUAGUGGUGCAGUGGUGGUCCCAGGCGCUGCUGACAGACAGGAUGUGACAUCACAGUGUGAGUCUGCACAGAGAUCCUACAGGCUCAUUGCGACGCUGAUUGACAUCCAACAGAACCAAUCAGCACGGAGCGCCAGGCUGAGGAGGAGGAGGAGGGAGCUGAUCUCAAGUUUUCAACCUGAGACC